rnacentral:rRNA from 1 species
UGAGCAAUCUGCCCUUCUCUUCGGAAUAAGCGUUGGAAACGACGUCUAAUGCCGAAUACGACCUCCUUUCGCAUGAUCGGAGGUGGAAAGCUCCGGCGGAGAAGGAUGAGCUCGCGGCCUAUCAGCUAGUUGGUGUGGGUAAUGGCCCACCAAGGCGACGACGGGUAGCCGGCCUGAGAGGGUGACCGGCCACACUGGAACUGAGACACGGCCCAGACCUCCGUACGGGAGGNAGCG